rnacentral:tRNA from 1 species
GCAGAUAUAGCUCAGUAGUAGAGCACAUGCGUAGCAUGCAUGAGGUCCUGGGUUCAAUCCUGGUACCUCCA